GAGUUUGAUCUUGGCUCAGAUUGAACGCUGGCGGCAUGCCUUACACAUGACAAGUCGAGCGGCAGCGCGGGGGCAACCCUGGCGGCGAGCGGCGGACGGCAGAGUAACACGUAGGAACGUACCCCAAAGUGAGGGAUAGCCCGCCGAAAGGCGGAUUAAUACCGCAUGUGAUCCACGGAUUAAAGCCUUGUGCGCUUUGGGAACGGCCUGCGUAAGAUUAGCUUGUUGGUAAGGUAACGGCUUACCAAGGCGACGAUCUUUAGCUGGUCUGAGAGGAUGAUCAGCCUGACUGGAACUGAGACACGGUCCAGACUCCUACGGGAGGCAGCAGUAGGGAAUUUUCCACAAUGGGGGCAACCCUGAUGGAGCAACGCCGCGUGCAGGAUGAAGGCCUUC
rnacentral:rRNA from 1 species